GAGCUAAGCAAGUAAAGAUGCAAGAAGUAAAGUAAAAGUAAAGAUGCAAGAAAUGAGCUGACAGCAGAUGUGUGUUACUCUCACAAGAACAUUCUCUGAAGAAUGGGUGGACGUUCGCAUUCCCAAUGCUCCAAACCUCCUGGCACUGCAGCUGAACUUAACCAGAUAGAGCUGCUUGGAGUCGACCCCAUAGUCAGCAGGGCUUUUUAUGCUCUGAAGAGUCAGCAACAUCUGCUGAGCAGAAGGAAACCAUAUGACCAUGAGAGCUGGCAUGAAAUGUAAGACAUAUGAAUGUAAUCGGUGGUUUGAGUGGAUAAGUGAUUUU